CAGUGAUAAUGUUUGCCCCGAUGUCUGUUGUCGUGUAAACCAUGCUGUCUUCUCGCAGUGACCAUGAUGCCAGCGCAUCUUUCAGUCCUUGUGCAAUGAUAUCGCCAGUGUGAUCUUCUGGGAAGUAGGAUAUUUGCGAACAGAAGCUUUGCAGUUGCCGGUGUUCGUCAAUGAAAUGCACCGUCAGGGAGAGGGAGAUGAUGCACCUUAAACCCCAGAUAUCAGUCCCCCAGCCGAGACAUGCUCUCAAAUACCCUCAUACCUGCAUGGUAUGCAGUUGAAAAAGAAAAUGUCAAGAAAGAGUUGCAAGAUGUGAGGGAUGUGGCUGUGACUGCUGAUGGCUGGACCAGCAUUGCACAGGACCACUACCUGACAGUGUCAGUUCACUAUGUGAGAGAGGAUUCCAUGAAAGAGAAGGUCCUACAUACAAGGUCGGUAUACACAUCCCAGACAGGGGACAUUGUAGCAGAAGAGAGAGGAGAUAUUCUUGAUGAAUUCAAUAUAAAGGACAGAGUAGUUGCUGUGACAGUGGACAAUGCAGCAAACAUGGAUGUAGCAGUAAAAAAGAUGAGUAUUAAAAAAAAUUUGCUGCUUUGCUCACUCUCUCAUUAUUGCUGCUCAGAAGCUUUACACAAUUACCUCAGUCUCACAGUGGGCAGGAAGGAUCCGAGCAAUGGUGGUGUGGCUAAAAAGAUCCAGCCUGGCUAAACCUGUCCUUAGAGAGAAGCAGCGUCUUCUCGGUAGGUAGAAAUCAGAGUAGAUGAACCUUAGUGCAAAACUCUUUGGCCAAAUAGUUAAUAAAAAUCCUUUGCUAAAUCAUGCAGUAAAACAUUUCUGCAAAUAAAUAGCCACUUUGUGUGUGUGUGUGUGUGUGUGUGUGUGUGUGUGUGUGUGUGUGUGUGUGUGUGUGUGUGUGUGUGUGUGUGUGUGUGUGUGUGUGUGUGUGUGUGGUUAUCAAACAUGAAUUUCUCUUUCUCACUUUAGGUCUUCCAGAACAUGCGGUCAUCCUUGAUGUGAAAACAAGGUGGAAUAGCUUAUUCCUCAUGGUGGAGCGAUUCCUGGAGCAGUUCCCUGCCAUCCAGGCCACCUCCAGUUCUUAUUCUAAAUGCCAUUUUCAGUGUGAAGGAUUUUGCUCAUGAAUGUGAUUAUAUUUUACAGACUGCAGAGAGUUUCUGAUGAGGAUUUUAGAAAAGCAGAAGAGUUUGUCAAAGUUACAAAGAUACUUUACACUUCAACCCUCUGCGUCUCUGCUGAAAGGAGCCCAACUUUGGGUCAGAUUCUUAACUAAACUCCAGCACCACUUCACAGUGAAUAAAGAGGACUCCUCCUUCACAAAGACCAUCAAGGACACUAUCUGGAAUGACCUCUCAAAAAGAUACCAGGAUGGCAAUAUCAGACAGUUUUUGGAGGAGGGCACAGCCUUAGAUCCCAGAUUCAAGUUAAAAGUGACAAAUGAAGUGUGGACCACACUGGAGGAGGAGCUAAUGAAAAGGACCUCAGAACAGACUCCGACUGAGCAGAUAGAACAGGUACUUGAAGAGAGAGCAGGUAACCAAGAUGACAGCUCUGAUGAAGACAGUGCAUCUGCAACAGCACUGAAGAGGCCAAAGCUUUCUGCCCUUGAGGAGCUGUGGAGGACAUGGCUGUUGAAGCAAGAAUGCAGACCACUGUCAGUAGCACUACAGAGAGGAUGCAGGCAGAGAUAAAUAAGUACAGACUGCUUCCAUCUACACUGUCCUCAGCAAGUCCAGUAACCUGGUGGUGGGACAUGAAGGAUACUCUGCCAAUGCUUUCAGAAUUGGCAUCAAGGUAUCUUUGCGUGCAAGCAUCAUCCACACCCUCAGAGCGUACAUUUUCCACUGCUGGGGACAUUAUCAGCCAGGAGCGGGCUUGUCUGUCUCCUGAAAAAGCAGACAUGCUAAUUUUUCUGAAGAAGAACUGUUGAGUGAUUUCAGGUGAUCUUAAAAGGUUAGUUCACCAAAAAAUGAAAAUUCUGUCACUAAUUACUCACCCUAAUGUUGUUCCAAACCCAUAAGACCUUUGUUUAUCUUCAGAACACAAAUGACGAUAAUUUUGGAUUUAAUCCAAGAGCUUUCUGAUCCUCCCAUAGAUUUACUGGAUAUGCAGUUUUCAAUGCCCAGAAAGGAACCAAAAACAUAGUCAAAAUAAGUCCAUGUGAUACUUCUGUGCGCAGGGUAAACAAAAAUAACUUUAUUCAACGAUUUAUCUAUGGCAGGAUCAGAAAGCUUUUGGAUUAAAUUCAAAAUAUCUUCAUUUGUAGAUAAUUAAUGACAAUUCAAAUUUUUGGGUGAACUAAACCUUUAAGCAGCAGUGAGCCUCACAAACCCUUAAAAUUGAUUGACUUAAAAUGGCUUGAACUUUAUUAAAACGGUUUGCACUGAUAUAUUGUGCUAGCUACACUUUGUUCAUUUUGUGCUUUUGUUCCUUUGUUUAUUGGUCUUACAGAUAAGCCUGCUGUGAAAAGUGUCACAAACAUCCUGAAAAAAUAAAACCAAAGUUUCUCUGAGAUUACGUGUUAUGUAAUCUUGUUAAAACAUAUUUCUUAAAAUAAAAGUAUCGAAAAAAGUAUUGUUCGGAACCGGUAUUGAAUUCAGGGUAUCGGUAUAGAAAAUUUUGGAAUGAUACCCAGCCCUACUACUAACAGUACUCACUUUCUCUGCUGGCUUUUUUCAGAUUGCAUUCAAAAAUCCAUUCAGGGAAUGCUUUGGCCACCAGAUCUGGGAUUUUGGAGUCUAUCCUGGAGUCUACAGGCAGGGAACAACCCAGGAUGCAGCUCCCAAAUCCCCUUUUUGCUAAAUUCAACUUCCAACACUAAGGGUGCCUUGUCAACAGCAGGUGUUACGGGAGAGCAAUGGGAGAAAGACAGUUGCCUUAUCAGGCUGGAGGAACACAAGCCACUCUGUUCAGACAUGGAACGGGAAGCAACAGAUGAUUAUAAUAAAGUCUACUGUCUUAUACUUGAGAGACUCUCUCAUCCCUGCUCUCCAAACUAAGUAAAAUCAUGGAUUUGAUCAGCUGGUCUCUCAACGCAAUUGACACCAUCUUCUCGACGAGAAGCCUAGGUUCGGGGGAACCUGACUGUCCUGCAGGAACUUAUGCAGCUGGCUACACAAUGGACGGAUGGGGGAAGUGGAGGGUCAUGUGCCUGGCAGCUCUUUCCUUGGAGGACAUUGAAGACAUCUACCUAUUCGGAACCAUGAUUACAGGUAUUAUGCUGAUUGGAUUAGGCAUUGCCCUGGUUUAUCGAAGAUUGAAGAAAACGGUGACAGCCGCUCAAAACCCCACUAGGCUGGCCGGAAUGAUUGAUGGAGUGGGCAGAGCUGUUAGCACUCAGACUGUGACAAUUGAUCGCAAACUGGAUAACAUCACUGUGACUAUGGAUCGCAAAUUGGAUAACAUCAUGGAGAAGCUCACGGCUUUGCAAAAAUUAUUGGAUGGCGGAGACCAGCGUGGACAUUAAGGGAGUUGGAGAUUACAGCUUCUCGCCCGGAAACCCAAACAACCCUAUUCUAUCAGGUUUUGGCUCCCCCUAAUCAGCAGCGGUCUUGGCCGACUAACUAACAACUCCCCCAGAAGAACAAGGCAGUGAGACUCUCUUGCAUUCCUCUCCCCCAAUCCCAAGGACUGACCGCACCCUCCCCCCAUCCCACGCCUUCGCUGCUUCAUACCCCCAGUGUGAACAGGCGGGUCUGUGACCAGCGCCCUUGUGGCUGCAGGACCGGAUGGCUGUUUGUCUGUGCUGGACUAACUCCUCCUCCCCAUUACCUUCACCUGUUGCAAGUUGUGUCAUUUUAUGUUGUAAGGUGUAGUGACCAUGUGCUUAUGUUGCUGAGGUGUUUUUUUUCGGUUCCUACAAUGUCCUCCCCACUGGAGUACAGUCUGGGGGCAGUUUUUUUAUUCUUCUCUCUCCUCAUGUUAUUCUGUUUCUUUUCUUCUCUCUGUUUGCCCCUGUCUCCCGACCUGUCUACCCCCUACUGUGAUAUAUGGUCGGGUUGAUGGCCAGUUUUUUCGCUGGUACUUGUGACUAGUGACAUGGUGUAUUGCAACAGCA